GGACUUCUGGAACGGAUUAUGUUUGAGAACCAAGGUUUGGCAUUGCAGAGGUGAAACGAACCCUAGCAGAAAAUGGACUCUUGCUGAAGACACCUUGCUGACAUAUUAAAAACUAUUCCGUUAUCAUGUACAAAUGUUCAUAAGUAAAGAGAAGCUUAG